ACCCGCAUACGCAGACGCCGUGUCGUAUUGGUGCUGAGCGGUGAAGUUUUUCACUUUUCUAGGUUCUUCUCCUGAAUCCGAGGUUGAGAAGAAUCGCAUGUUCUUUGUUACGGUUGGUUUCCCAAGAACGAAUCUUUAAGACCACUUGUCUCUGCAUCCUUACCUGCGAUGGAUUACAGCGGAGGGCGGAAUCUGCUUAAUCAGUUUGCGGACAAAACUCCUCAAAAUCAGGCCAUGGAAAAUAGAGAGAGUAAUCAGAUUGUUAAUACCUGGAAGCCGCUUGGGUUUGAUGAGAAGCAGGCGGCAGUUCACAAGGAGAUGAAGAGAAUGAAUCAGUUGCCUGCAAAUAGCACAUAUGCAACUCAUCGCCUGAAGGUUCUCAACAAGUUAUUGCAACUAAUGACAAUUCAGAGAACGGCAUCACAAGAUGAGGAGCUGGAACUGCUUUUUGCUAGCUUGUCUCUGUGAUGGAAUUUCCUGGGACUGGUUAGUGCUAAUCAGUUUGAUGCUAAACUCUCGGAUUUGACUCAAAACAGGUGCUGAGUUCCUAUGGUCCCACAUGAUCAGCACUGUAAAUAUGUUAAAUAGGCAUUUCCAGAAGUGUCCGGUUAAGCUGGUUGCAGCAUGUGCACUGAUUUGCUGAGGAACUUCCUUGCCUUCUUUUCUCCAUGUAUCCAUCGGCAAAACUAAUCAGCUGGCAAUGGAAUGGGAAAUGUUACUCUACCUCUUAACCAUAUCGGAAGGGAUGCUUUUCUCUGCGUUUGUAUCUAAUCCUUUUGGAGUUAGCCCACUGCUCCUUGUACGUUUUGGAGUCGAGCGCAUUUUGUGCAAUAGGCAUGGUGUUCGGGUUAUAUAUGACGUGUUUUUUAGAUCACUCCUUGACAUUUUGACUCCUAUACAAGCUGCCAGCUGCUGUCUUUGCGUUGUAUUUCAUCUCAUGCCUCAUGGAGCUAUUGACAAUAGUGGGUUUCCUGAAAUGAGAUUUUGUGUUAAUA